GUUGGAGUGGCUGAGCGGUUAAAAAUGCUAGGCUCAAGUCCCAGUUCACGAAGUGAGCGUGGGCUUGAAUCCCACUUCCGACA
rnacentral:tRNA from 1 species